UUAAGCGACUAAGCGUACACGGUGGAUGCCCUGGCAGUCAGAGGCGAUGAAGGACGUGCUAAUCUGCGAAAAGCGUCGGUAAGGUGAUAUGAACCGUUAUAGCCGGCGAUGUCCGAAUGGGGAAACCCAGUGCAAUUCGUUGCACUAUCGUUAACUGAAUACAUAGGUUAACGAGGCGAACCGGGGGAACUGAAACAUCUAAGUACCCCGAGGAAAAGAAAUCAACCGAGAUUCCCCCAGUAGCGGCGAGCGAACGGGGAGCAGCCCGGAGUCUGAAUCAGCUUGUGUGUUAGUGGAAGCGUCUGGAAAGUCGCAGGGUACAGGGUGAUACUCCCGUACACUAAAACACACAGGUUGUGAACUCGAAGAGUAGGGCGGGACACGUGGUAUCCUGUCUGAAUAUGGGGGGACCAUCCUCCAAGGCUAAAUACUCCUGACUGACCGAUAGUGAACCAGUACCGUGAGGGAAAGGCGAAAAGAACCCCGGCGAGGGGAGUGAAAAAGAACCUGAAACCGUGUACGUACAAGCAGUAGGAGCCCACUAGUUGGGUGACUGCGUACCUUUUGUAUAAUGGGUCAGCGACUUAUAUUCUGUAGCAAGGUUAACCGUAUAGGGGAGCCGCAGGGAAACCGAGUCUUAACUGGGCGUUAAGUUGCAGGGUAUAGACCCGAAACCCGGUGAUCUAGCCAUGGGCAGGUUGAAGGUUGGGUAACACUAACUGGAGGACCGAACCGACUAAUGUUGAAAAAUUAGCGGAUGACUUGUGGCUGGGGGUGAAAGGCCAAUCAAACCGGGAGAUAGCUGGUUCUCCCCGAAAGCUAUUUAGGUAGCGCCUCGUGAAUUCAUCUUCGGGGGUAGAGCACUGUUUCGGCUAGGGGGUCAUCCCGACUUACCAACCCGAUGCAAACUACGAAUACCGAAGAAUGUUAUCACGGGAGACACACGGCGGGUGCUAACGUCCGUCGUGAAGAGGGAAACAACCCAGACCGCCAGCUAAGGUCCCAAAGUCAUGGUUAAGUGGGAAACGAUGUGGGAAGGCCCAGACAGCCAGGAUGUUGGCUUAGAAGCAGCCAUCAUUUAAAGAAAGCGUAAUAGCUCACUGGUCGAGUCGGCCUGCGCGGAAGAUGUAACGGGGCUAAACCAUGCACCGAAGCUGCGGCAGCGACACUAUGUGUUGUUGGGUAGGGGAGCGUUCUGUAAGCCGUUGAAGGUGGCCUGUGAGGGUUGCUGGAGGUAUCAGAAGUGCGAAUGCUGACAUAAGUAACGAUAAUGCGGGUGAAAACCCCGCACGCCGGAAGACCAAGGGUUCCUGUCCAACGUUAAUCGGGGCAGGGUGAGUCGACCCCUAAGGCGAGGCCGAAAGGCGUAGUCGAUGGGAAACAGGUUAAUAUUCCUGUACUCGGUGUUACUGCGAAGGGGGGACGGAGAAGGCUAUGUUGGCCGGGCGACGGUUGUCCCGGUUUAAGCAUGUAGGCGGAUGUUCCAGGUAAAUCCGGAACGUUAUUAACGCUGAGGUGUGAUGACGAGGCACUACGGUGCUGAAGUGACAAAUGCCCUGCUUCCAGGAAAAGCCUCUAAGCAUCAGGUAACAUCAAAUCGUACCCCAAACCGACACAGGUGGUCAGGUAGAGAAUACCAAGGCGCUUGAGAGAACUCGGGUGAAGGAACUAGGCAAAAUGGUGCCGUAACUUCGGGAGAAGGCACGCUGAUGGUAGGUGAAGCGACUUGCUCGUGGAGCUGAAAUCAGUCGAAGAUACCAGCUGGCUGCAACUGUUUAUUAAAAACACAGCACUGUGCAAACACGAAAGUGGACGUAUACGGUGUGACGCCUGCCCGGUGCCGGAAGGUUAAUUGAUGGGGUUAUCCGUAAGGAGAAGCUCUUGAUCGAAGCCCCGGUAAACGGCGGCCGUAACUAUAACGGUCCUAAGGUAGCGAAAUUCCUUGUCGGGUAAGUUCCGACCUGCACGAAUGGCGUAAUGAUGGCCAGGCUGUCUCCACCCGAGACUCAGUGAAAUUGAACUCGCUGUGAAGAUGCAGUGUACCCGCGGCAAGACGGAAAGACCCCGUGAACCUUUACUAUAGCUUGACACUGAACACUGGUCCUUGAUGUGUAGGAUAGGUGGGAGGCUUUGAAGUGUGGACGCCAGUCUGCAUGGAGCCAUCCUUGAAAUACCACCCUUUAAUGGCUGGUGUUCUAACGUGGGCCCCUAAUCGGGGUUGCGGACAGUGUCUGGUGGGUAGUUUGACUGGGGCGGUCUCCUCCUAAAGAGUAACGGAGGAGCACGAAGGUCAGCUAAUCCUGGUCGGACAUCAGGAGGUUAGUGCAAUGGCAUAAGCUGGCUUGACUGCGAGCGUGACGGCGCGAGCAGGUGCGAAAGCAGGUCAUAGUGAUCCGGUGGUUCUGAAUGGAAGGGCCAUCGCUCAACGGAUAAAAGGUACUCCGGGGAUAACAGGCUGAUACCGCCCAAGAGUUCAUAUCGACGGCGGUGUUUGGCACCUCGAUGUCGGCUCAUCACAUCCUGGGGCUGAAGUAGGUCCCAAGGGUAUGGCUGUUCGCCAUUUAAAGUGGUACGCGAGCUGGGUUUAGAACGUCGUGAGACAGUUCGGUCCCUAUCUGCCGUGGGCGCUGGAGAAUUGAGGGGGGCUGCUCCUAGUACGAGAGGACCGGAGUGGACGCAUCACUGGUGUUCGGGUUGUCAUGCCAAUGGCAUUGCCCGGUAGCUAAAUGCGGAAGAGAUAAGUGCUGAAAGCAUCUAAGCACGAAACUUGCCCCGAGAUGAGUUCUCCCUGACCCUUUAAGGGUCCUGAAGGAACGUUGAAGACGACGACGUUGAUAGGCCGGGUGUGUAAGCGCAGCGAUGCGUUGAGCUAACCGGUACUAAUGAACCGUGAGGCUUAACCUU
rnacentral:rRNA from 2 species